UUUUUUUUUUUUUUUUUUAUUUGUGUUCUUAAUGCUUGGAUUACUUUUAGUGCUUUAUAAUUGCUAUUGCAUGAAUGUUAGUUUAUCUGCAUUUUAUGUUUGCUUAUAUGCUUUAAUUGUGCUAAUUAAUUGUUGUGCUUGAUAACAUUAUUUAUUUUGCAUGUUUUAUGUGUUUUAUGUAUUGUGCUUGUCUUAUAUGUAUGUCGGAUAAAAGCUCUACAGAGCUUAUGUUGUAUUGUUAUAUGUAUAACCGACUUUAAAUAAAUCUGUUAUGUUU
rnacentral:lncRNA from 1 species